CUUGUGAAGUUUAAAUUCUGUUGCCAUGAGCCAGAAGCAGUGACAUUAAUGAAACAUGGUUUGUGGCCUUCAUCACCCAAGGAACCACAAGCAGCAUUUGAAAAAAAUCUUAUGGAAUUGGUCAAAUAUAUCUUCUUGGAAUGCCGAACAUCUUUAAAGUCGAUAUGUCAGGCAAUAUACUGGAUUAUGCCUUCUCUUUCACCAGUUUAUGUAAAGGACAUAUAUCGGCUACUUGUUGGUGAAAAUUUUGGAGAAUACCGUUACCUUAGCUACAUGCUGGAUACAUUUGGUGGGAAAAAUGUGCAGUUGGAUAAUGUUAGUCAAUGCCCUGCAUGCCCUAAGAAAAGUGGAAAUAUGUAUGUAUCUUUG